UAAGGAAUAUUGGUCAAUGGACGCAAGUCUGAACCAGCCAUGCCGCGUGAAGGAUGAAGGCCCUCUGGGUUGUAAACUUCUUUUAUCUGGGACGAAAAAAGGGGAUUCUUCCUCACUUGACGGUACCAGAGGAAUAAGCACCGGCUAACUCCGUGCCAGCAGCCGCGGUAAUACGGAGGGUGCAAGCGUUAUCCGGAUUUACUGGGUUUAAAGGGUGCGUAGGUGGGUAGGUAAGUCAGUGGUGAAAUCUCCGGGCUUAACCCGGAAACUGCCAUUGAUACUAUUUAUCUUGAAUACUUUGGAGGUAAGCGGAAUAUGUCAUGUAGCGGUGAAAUGCUUAGAUAUGACAUAGAACACCAAUUGCGAAGGCAGCUUACUACACAGUAAUUGACACUGAGGCACGAAAGCGUGGGGAUCAAACAGGAUUAGAUACCCCUGUAGUCC
rnacentral:rRNA from 1 species